AAUCAACGCUGGCGGCGUGCCUCAGACAUGCAAGUCGAACGCGAAAGUUCCCUUCGGGGGAUGAGUAGAGUGGCGCACGGGUGAGUAACACGUAGGUAAUCUACCUUCGGAUGGGGAAUAACAACCGGAAACGGUUGCUAAUACCGCAUAAUGCAGCGGCACCUAAUGGUGACAGUUGCUAAAGCGGGGGAUCGAAAGACCUCGCGUCUGAAGAGGAGCCUGCGGCGGAUUAGCUAGUUGGUAGGGUAACGGCCUACCAAGGCUACGAUCCGUAGCCGGCCUGAGAGGGCGGUCGGCCACACUGACACUGACAUACGGGUCAGACUCCUACGGGAGGCAGCAGUCGGGAAUUUUGGGCAAUGGGCGAAAGCCUGACCCAGCAACGCCGCGUG
rnacentral:rRNA from 1 species